AGCGAACGCUGGCGGCAGGCCUAACACAUGCAAGUCGAACGAACCUUUCGGGGUUAGUGGCGGACGGGUGAGUAACACGUGGGAACGUGCCUUUAGGUUCGGAAUAACUCAGGGAAACUUGUGCUAAUACCGAAUGUGCCCUUCGGGGGAAAGAUUAAUCGCCUUUAGAGCGGCCCGCGUCGGAUUAGCUAGUUGGUUGAGGUAAUGGCUCACCAAGGCGACGAUCAGUAGCUGGUCUGAGAGGAUGAUCAGCCACAUUGGGACUGAGACACGGCCCAAACUCCUACGGGAGGCAGCAGUGGGGAAUCUUGCGCAAUGGGCGAAAGCCUGACGCAGCCAUGCCGCGUGAAUGAUGAAGGUCUUAGGAUUGUAAAAUUCUUUAACCGGGGACGAUAAUGACGGUACCCGGAGAAGAAGCCCCGGCUAACUUCGUG
rnacentral:rRNA from 1 species